rnacentral:rRNA from 1 species
GACGAACGCUGGCGGCGUGCUUAACACAUGCAAGUCGAACGGAAAGGCCCUGCUUGCCGGGUACUCGAGUGGCGAACGGGUGAGUAACACGUGGGUGAUCUGCCCUGCACUUCGGGAUAAGCCUGGGAAACUGGGUCUAAUACCGGAUAGGAGCCAUCUUUAGUGUGAUGGUUGGAAAGUUUUUUCGGUGUAGGAUGAGCUCGCGGCCUAUCAGCUUGUUGGUGGGGUAAUGGCCUACCAAGGCGGCGACGGGUAGCCGGCCUGAGAGGGUGGACGGCCACAUUGGGACUGAGAUACGGCCCAGACUCCUACGGGAGGCAGCAGGGGGGAAUAUUGCACAAUGGGCGCAAGCCGGAUGCAGCGACGCCGCGUGGGGGAGGACGGCCUUCGGGUUGUAAACUCCUUUCGCUAGGGACGAAGCUUUUUGUGACGGUACCUAGAUAAGAAGCACCGGCUAACUACGUG